CGCGUAGGCGGACAUUUAAGUCAGGGGUGAAAUCCCGGGGCUCAACCCCCGGAACCUGCCUUUGAUACUGGGUGUCUUGAGUAUGAGAGAGGUGUGUGGAACUCCGAGUGUAGAGGUGAAAUUCGUAGAUAUUCGGAAGAACACCAGUGGCGAAGGCGACACACUGGCUCAUUACUGACGCUGAGGCGCGAAAGCGUGGGGAGCAAAC
rnacentral:rRNA from 1 species